GCUGGGGUGGUGAAAUGGCAGACACACCAGCCUUAGGAGCUGGUGCCGCAAGGCGUGGAGGUUCAAGUCCUCUCCCCAGCA
rnacentral:tRNA from 1 species